UCAGAGACUUUUCAGCGCUGCUGGGGCCCCCGUGUCAUCCCGCAGCAGCGCCUGCUUCCUAAGAAGCUGGCUCCUCUGCCGUUCCAAGAGGACAACUUGAAUACUGUUCUGGCAGCUUCGCAGCCCCAUUCACUCUCUCCCUGUGGCUGGAGAAACUUUUUGAAAGUGCUAGGAGCACGGUUUGGAAUCUUUGUCCAGAACGACUUUGAGGAAAGCUGCUGUGAAAGUUGGGUCUGGCUUCUUUGGCGAGCUCUGCUGAAGAGCCAGAUGCCCUUUUCGCGUGCGACACAGGCAUAUGGGGAACACGGCUCCAAGGACAAUGUCCAAGGCACGACAGCGCAGAUGCACCCGCAGCUUCUUCACCAACAGAGCUUCAGUCCUGGUAAUGUGAACGACAGGGAUUCAGAGGAAUCCUUUCUGCUUCCAGCCCCAGUAACAAUACCCGUACUACAAUCGGUACUUCGCCGUGUAAGCAGCAUGACCCCUAGUGGGUACCAGUGGUAAGUAUCUAGAUAUUAAUACCCAUGCAAAUACAAUGGUGUAUUUUUAAUAGGUGGAUAGAAAAAUAAGUCAAGAUGUUGUAAUUUCAGCUAUAUUAAUUAAGGAGGUCACUAUGAAACAAGAAACAACAGGCAAGUAGCAAAAUGUAAGAUAUAUUUCAUGCAUUUAAAUGAUUAAUAGAAUUUUUAACAUUAAAUAUAUUAGUACACUACAUUAGAAUAUAAUAUCCAGGAACGAAUUCUAAAGUAGGUUUUUAUAUUUUCUUUCAUUUACCACCUUUGGCUUCCAUAACCCUUAAUUAAAUUCUCUCAAUCUUUGACAACAUAUCUUCAACAAAGAUAGCUUGCACUAGAGUGCUUUCAAGAAAGGAUUAAAAAUGGUAAGGUUGGGACAUUUUCAGUUUGUCUAGAUAAAAUACUCUCAUGAAUCCAUCAUUUUAAAAUAUCCCAAUCCACACUCAAUGUUACUUGUAAUUUCACUGAUGUUUAAUUUAUUUUACUGCAUUAUUACAGUUUAAUUAAACAGCAGACAGGAGCUUCACUGGGAUCGCUCCUUCCUUCUACCCAGCAAUGUUCAGGUCUUGUACCUUGAAGCCAAACAACAAAAGAGAUAGUCAAAGGAAGACUGUUUUAUGUUUCAUUUCAAUAACUGGGUCAUAUUCAUUUCCUUUUUACUACCGACAGACGAUCUAUAGUAGUCCCCUCUCCCAACUUUCUUUAAAAAAAAAAAAAAAGUAAAUAGUAAUUCUUAUUAACGGCAGUGGCACCUGCACGGGGGUGGGCAAAUCUGGUCACCAGCCGGUCCCCCUGCUGUUUUACUCAGCUGGCAACAUGCUCUCGACCCUGGCAGCUGCUCCUGCUUUGUUUUUCCUUCCAGGCAAAUAGGAACUUCAUGAAUGUUUAGAAAUUCUUUUUUUCCUGAACCAAAACUUUGGUUUCAGAAAGUAACAAUGAAAUUGACAACAGAUGAUAAACUUUUAUGUAUGUGUUUAAUUACCUAAGAAAUACACGAAUACAAUCCUAUAAAAAAUUUAACACAGAAACGUCUAAAUGGUAAACACCCUUUUCAUCCUCCUCCCCAGCCAUCUCACUCUCUCCUCAAAGCCUGGAGAGGUCGGGAGCAUCCUCUCCACAGAAUUAAACAUAAAAUGGGACAGCUUCAUUAAAAACUACUUCAGAUCACUGGGAAAGGACCAAAGGCAAAAAACAACUCACGACAUUUGUUAUAUUUCCUGCUAAUCCUUCGUUACAUUCACAAAUAAACAAUGUGAGCUUGCUUCACUCUACAUAAAUGAGACCCUCCUAAAUGUGCUGUCCUGAAAUUCUUUUGCUUCCCAUUACGUACUGACAAGACUUCUGUGUUGGAACCCAUAGACCUCUAUUGACCUUUCUUAAUUGUUCCAUGGCAUUGAACAAUUGGGUGUACCACCAUUUAUUGGGUCAUUUCCCUAUUGAUUUAAGGUUGUUUUUUAACAUUUCCUUAUUACAAACAAUCCUGUAAUGAACACCGUGGACUAUCUUGGUGAACAUAUGCAAGAAUUUCUGCAUAUGACUAGAUACCUAAAAGUGAAACUCCUAGUCAAAGAUUGUGCUAAUAUUAAAUUUUGGAGGACAGUGCCAAAUUCUGUCAAAAAGGCAGAACUAUUUUUAAAAUGAUUAAACCUUUGAGAACCAAUCCUAAAUGUUAGCACUAGAAGGGUUCUUAAGAUUGCCCAAACACCUUUGCAUUUUAG
rnacentral:lncRNA from 1 species